CCUACGGGAGGCAGCAGUGAGGAAUCUUGGUCAAUGGACGGAAGUCUGAUGCAGCCAUGCCGCGUGCAGGAAGACGGCUCUAUGAGUUGUAAACUGCUUUUGUACAAGGGUAAACCUGAAUACGUGUAUUCAGCUGAAAGUACUGUACGAAUAAGGUUCGGCUAACUCCGUUCCAGCAGCCGCGGUAAUACGGAGGAUCCAAGCGUUAUCCGGAUUCAUUGGGUUUAAAGGGUGCGUAGGCGGAUUGAUAAGUUAGAGGUGAAAUGUCCGGGCUGAACUCGGGAACUGACCCUAAUACUGUGGAACUAGAGAGUAGAUGCGGUAGGCGGAAUGUAUGGUGUAGCGGUGAAAUGCGUAGAGAUCAUACAGAACACCGAUUGCGAAGGCAGCUUACCAAUCUAUAUCUGACGUUGAGGCACGAAGGCGUGGGGAGCAAACAGGAUUAGAUACCCCAGUAGUC
rnacentral:rRNA from 1 species